GGGCGGGUGGCAGAAUCUGGCUAUGCACCGGACUUUUAAUCCGUGGGGAAACCCUACGUGGGUUCGAAUCCCACCCCGCUCACCA
rnacentral:tRNA from 1 species